AACGAACGCUGGCGGCAGGCCUAACACAUGCAAGUCGAAAGCCCUGGCAACAGGGAGUGGCAGACGGGUGAGUAACGCGUGGGAACGUGCCCUUCGGUUCGGAAUAACUCAGGGAAACUUGAGCUAAUACCGGAUACGUGCGAGAGCAGAAAGAUUUAUCGCCGAAGGAUCGGCCCGCGUCCGAGUAGCUAGUUGGUGAGGUAACGGCUCACCAAGGCGACGAUCGGUAGCUGGUCUGAGAGGAGGAUCAGCCACACUGGGACUGAGACACGGCCCAUACUCCGCCGGGAGGCAGCAGUGGGGAAUAUUGGACAAUGGGCGCAAGCCUGAUCCAGCCAUGCCGCGUGAGUGAUGAAGGCCCUAGGGUUGUAAAGCUCUUUCGCCAGGGACGAUAAUGACGGUACCUGGAUAAGAAGCCCCGGCUAACUUCGUGCCAGCCGCCGCGGUAA
rnacentral:rRNA from 1 species